rnacentral:rRNA from 1 species
GACGAACGCUGGCGGCGUGCCUAAUACAUGCAAGUUGAGCGAUUAAGGUUGGUGCUUGUACCUACUGGAUUAGCAGCGAACGGGUGAGUAACGCGUGGGUAAUCUGCCUUUGAGCGGGGGACAACUUUUGGAAACGAAUGCUAAUACCGCAUAAAAACUUUAAACACAAGUUUUAAGUUUGAAAGAUGCAAUUGCUUCACUCAAUGAUGAUCCCGCGUUGUAUUAGCUAGUUGGUGAGGGAAAGGCUCACCAAGGCGAUGAUAAAUAGCCGACCUUAGGAGGGGAUAGGCCACAUUGGGACUGAGACACGGCCCAAACCCCCAAGGGAGGCAGCAGUAGGGAAUUUUCGGCAAUGGACGAAAGGCUGAACGAGCAACGCCGGGUGAGUGAAGAAGGUUUUCGGAUCGUAAAACUCUGUUGGUAGAGAAGAACGUUGGGGAGAGUGGAAAGCGCAUCAAGUGACGGUAACUACCCAGAAAGGGACGGCUAACUACGUG